rnacentral:rRNA from 1 species
GACGAACGCUGGCGGCGUGCUUAACACAUGCAAGUCGAACGGUGAAGCGCCUUCCUUUUUGGUGGGUGUGGAUGAGUGGCGAACGGGUGAGUAACACGUGAGUAACCUGCCCCCUUCUUCUGGAUAACCGCAUGAAAGUGUGGCUAAUACGGGAUAUUCUGGGUCUGUCGCAUGAUGGGUCUGGGAAAGAUAUUGUUUCGGUGGGGGAUGGGCUCGCGGCCUAUCAGCUUGUUGGUGGGGUGAUGGCCUACCAAGGCGGUGACGGGUAGCCGGCCUGAGAGGGUGGACGGUUACACUGGGACUGAGACACGGCCCAGACUCCUACGGGAGGCAGCAGUGGGGAAUAUUGCACAAUGGGCGCAAGCCUGAUGCAGCGACGCCGCGUGAGGGAUGGAGGCCUUCGGGUUGUGAACCUCUUUCGCCAGUGAGGCAGGCCUGCCUCGUUUGUGGGUGGGUUGACGGUAGCUGGAUAAGAAGCGCCGGCUAACUACGUG